rnacentral:rRNA from 1 species
AUUGAACGCUGGCGGCAUGCUUUACACAUGCAAGUCGAACGGUAACAGGCCGCAAGGUGCUGACGGGUGGCGAACGGGUGAGUAAUGCAUCGGAACGUGCCCAGUCGUGGGGGAUAACGCAGCGAAAGCUGUGCUAAUACCGCAUACGAUCUGUGGAUGAAAGCGGGGGACCUUCGGGCCUCGCGCGAUUGGAGCGGCCGAUGUCAGAUUAGGUAGUUGGUGGGGUAAAGGCUCACCAAGCCGACGAGCUGUAGCUGGUCUGAGAGGACGACCAGCCACACUGGGACUGAGACACGGCCCAGACGCCUACGGGAGGCAGCAGUGUGGAAUUUUGGACAAUGGGCGCGAGCCUGAUCCAGCAAUGCCGCGUGCAGGAAGAAGGCCUUCGGGUUGUAAACUGCUUUUGUACGGAGCGAAAAGGCUCCCUCUAAUACAGGGGGCUCAUGACGGUACCGUAAGAAUAAGCACCGGCUAACUACGUGCCAGCAGCCGCCGUAA